ensembl:lncRNA
GUUACAGGCCACAUAUAUUGUGAUAUAGUGGCCUAAUUCACUCUUAUUUUAAAUAGUUCACUUGGCAACUGCUUAAGAAAUCAGUAACAAUGGAAGCUUAUGACCUGCUGUCUUGCUCUCCAUCAACACAAGUCAUGAAGAACAGCCCGGAGCUGAAGGGUGCUGAAGGUGUGGGGCUGAAGUCAAGGGAGAGACAAAUGUGUAGAAUUGCCUUUGAGGGGUAUGUCAGCAUAUGGAGGAAAAUUGCCACCACUAACCCAGAACUUCUGAUGGUAAACGAAUAUUCAGAUGAAUUCAUCAACUGUAGAGACAGAUGUGCAGUCUGGUCAAAUGGCAAUAAGACAGAUCAUCUUGUUCAAGCACAGCGCAACAUCCCUGUUCAGAAGCUUCUGAAGAGACACACCACAGCGAAACGCACGCGGGUGGAACGCAUGAGAAGGCUCUACAAAGCUGCAGACCCACUGACCCCCCAGACUCCUGCUGCUGCUCUGGGUCCAGAUGAGCAGGAACACUGGGAGCGAGAAAUGGACGAACUGCUGGAAUGGACUCACUCCCUUUCUUUCAAAGAACUAGAUGACCUACUUCAUGCACACAUUUAGACAUCACAAGUGGUGUUUUUUUUUUUUUUUGAUGAUGAUGAUGAUUAAAAAGUUUACAGCACAAUCAACUGUAUAUAACAACCAGUAAGACUUAAAAAAAAAAAAAAAAUGAAAUGACAUUCAUGACUAUACAUAUGCACCUUGCAUUUUAAUAGAUCUAUCUAUCUCUCUGUCUUGUAUGUCUUAAGCCGCUUUUCCACCGUCAGGUUCUCAUUGCUUAACUGUACCAUUAUGGUUUCGCAUAUGGAUACGGUUUGGUUUUCCACUGUGGCACUGAUCACAGAGUUCGUAAUACAGAUGUAUCAGUCGUUGCCCUGGUAAUGCAAGUACAGUAUUUACAUACAGUACAGUAUGAAAUGUAAGUAGUGACUGUAUUAUGAAGGAUGAUGAGAUGUUUCUGUUUGCUUCACUCAAACCGAUCUUAGAACCGCUGGUGGAAAAGCCGCUAUAGAUUAUCCAGUAAAUACAACAAAUAUGCCCCCUGUGAUAUUAAGGCACCUCUCCAUUUUAUCUUUCAUACAAUAAAUCAUAUAUGAUUAUACGUAAUGUGCCA